CAGACAGAGAGGUGCUUGUGCUCCAACUGUUGGAGGUAAUUAACAGCCCGAACUGUCAGAAGGUGACAGCCGGCAGAAAGUUCCUGCCCUGGGGUCACAGCUGGAUUCCGGCAACUUGCUCCUUGAUUUACCAGUAAAACUAAUAAUCAGGAGGGGUGUAUUCCUGCCUGCAGACUUUGGGAAAUCACCACAGGGAGUCAGACUACUGAAGCACAGUCAAGCAAUAAAUCUACCAGAUACAAAUUCACAGGGAAAGUAGAGAGCAGUUCAACCAGAGGUAAAUUUGCAACAGGACUGACUUCAGAUGGUAUCGAAGCUUUGCAAGAAAAAUAAAACAGUUCUGUCCGAUCACA